CGAAGAAAGGAAUCAGUCUCUUCAGUCCAGCGCAUGCCUCAAACUCGUUUUUCCUUUGAAUUACUCAUUUUUUUGAAUUUCGCAGCAGAAACUUUUCUAGGAGAAGUUCGAAUCCGUUCUGUUCGGAUAUUGAUCGGUCUUGGUUUGACAUGGUUUACGCGUUACUAGUUCCCGAAAGAGUCAAUUUCUCCAUUAGCUAAACCCUUUAUUACCCUACCUUUGGACUCGUAUUUUAUUUGUACACAAUCAACGAAGGCCCCCCGACAUAUGUUGCAACGUCUUCAAUAG
rnacentral:rRNA from 1 species